rnacentral:rRNA from 1 species
AUUGAACGCUGGCGGCAGGCUUAACACAUGCAAGUCGAGCGAGCGGCGGACGGGUGAGUAAUGUCUGGGAAACUGCCUGAUGGAGGGGGAUAACUACUGGAAACGGUAGCUAUUACCGCAUACCAUCAGAUGUGCCCAGAUGGGAUUAGCUAGUAGGUGGGGUAAUGGCACACCUAGGCGACGAUCCCUAGCUGGUCUGAGAGGAUGACCCGUCAGACGUGAACUGAGACACGGUCCCGACUCCAUCGGGAGGCAGCCUUGGGGAAUAUUGCACACUGGGCGCAAGCCUAAUGCAGCCAUGCCGCGUGUAUGAAGAAGGCCUUCGGGUUGUAAAGUACUUUCAGCGAGGAGGCGUUACUCGCAGAAGAAGCACCGGCUAACUCCGUGCCAGCAGCCGCGGUAAUUC